rnacentral:tRNA from 2 species
GGGCUUGUAACUCAAUUGGCUGAGUACCGGACUUUUAAUCCGGGAGAUGUGGGUUCGAGUCCCACCGGGCCCA